rnacentral:ncRNA from 1 species
CAAAAUGCGGUGACAAGGAGGAGUACGCAAUUACCCGAUGCCAAGAGAGGAGACGGCCGGUGUGAGUCUUCGUAACGGAAUUGCGGAAGUAGCCUUCGAGCAGUGAAACGAACGGGUGGGCCCUCAGUAGGAUUCAACGUAAUUCCCACGUUACAGGGAGGCGGUAUCGGACAGAAGUCCCGUGCCGGCAGAGCGCAAAGAGAAUACUCUUUGAAGUUAGGUGGUAACACGGAUUGAAGAUUCGCCCUAAGC